AUGAUGACAAGGGGAGAGACUACCUGGUGGUGGCGCCGAAGGAGCAAGCAUAGAAAUGUGAAUCUCUCAGGCAAAAGAACUCUUGUUUGACG
rnacentral:ncRNA from 2 species